rnacentral:rRNA from 1 species
GACGGAGGGGGCAAGCGUUGUUCGGAAUUAUUGGGCGUAAAGAGCUCGUAGGCGGCUUGUUGCGUCCGCUGUGAAAACUCGAGGCUCAACCUCGAGACGCCGAUGGAAACCGUCUGGCUAGAGUCCGGAAGAGGAGAGUGGAAUUCCUGGUGUAGCGGUGAAAUGCGCAGAUAUCAGGAAGAACACCCGUGGCUAAGGCGGCUCUCUAGUACGGUACUGACGCUGAGACGCGAAAGCGUGGGGAGCGAACAGG